rnacentral:lncRNA from 1 species
AAAACAAGAAUAAAAUCCUGAAGUUCUAAGAAUAUGGGAAGUUGAGUAUUCAUACAUGGUUUGUAGGGACAUCAAAUUUGUAUAAUUUUCUGGAAAGCAAUUACCAAUAUGCAUCAAGGCCUUAAAAAUGUUCAUAUCUGUUUACUUAGUAAUUCUGUUUUAGGGAUCAGCCCAAAAGAUAAACUCUGAAAUAUAUUAAAAAUUUGAAGGCCCAGGGUUACUGGUAAUGAUGAAACUCUACAAACAACCUAGAGAUCUUGCAACAAAAGUUAGGUUCUGUGGAACUCAGUGUUCCUUUUAAAUGGUAUUUAAAUUAGAAAUCAAUGCAGUACGUGAUCCUGAAUUGGAUCCUGGACUAGAAAAAAAGACACUGGGGAACAACUGUCAACAUCAAUAAAGACUAUAGGUGGAGUCUCACUCUGUCACCCGGGCUGGAGUGCAGUGAUGCCAUCACCUGCCUGGGAUGCUGGAACCACAGACGCCAUCUUGGACUGUUGGGGAGCAGUUUGUUUAGGAGGAAAUGCCAGCACCCGAGGAUGGCAGAGCAGAAGUGAUGGAGACCUCACCGACUGCCUGAAUUAACCAAUCCUGGAAUUACACGCUGCUCUGGGCUUCUUGUUGCUUAUAAUGGACUGGUAAUUUGCAUGGAGCUACUCGGAGGAUUAACCGUGAUUACCCAGAGAAAGGACACCUUGCCUGGGCCGUUUCAAGUACUCCACACAUGUUCCUUGAUAUUAUUGAUCUCAUUCUUGCAACAUCAGCAUCUGUCCUGGUGGGUGCUCAAGUAAA